rnacentral:rRNA from 1 species
GACGGGGGGUCCUAGCGUUGUUCGGAAUUAUUGGGCGUAAAGCGUGUGCAGGUUGUUUGAAAAGUUGGAUGUGAAAUCCUUGGGCUUAACCCAAGACGUGCAUUCAAAACUGCCAAACUUGAGUAUGGAAGAGGAUCGUGGAAUUACCUAGUGUAGUGGUGAAAUACGUAGAUAUUAGGAGGAACACCGUGGCGAAGGCGGCGAUCUGGUCCAAUACUGACACUCA